rnacentral:rRNA from 1 species
GGGACACGUGGUAUCCUGUCUGAAUAUGGGGGGACCAUCCUCCAAGGCUAAAUACUCCUGACUGACCGAUAGUGAACCAGUACCGUGAGGGAAAGGCGAAAAGAACCCCGGCGAGGGGAGUGAAAAAGAACCUGAAACCGUGUACGUACAAGCAGUGGGAGCACCUUUAUGGUGUGACUGCGUACCUUUUGUAUAAUGGGUCAGCGACUUAUAUUCUGUAGCAAGGUUAACCGUAUAGGGGAGCCGCAGGGAAACCGAGUCUUAACUGGGCGUUAAGUUGCAGGGUAUAGACCCGAAACCCGGUGAUCUAGCCAUGGGCAGGUUGAAGGUUGGGUAACACUAACUGGAGGACCGAACCGACUAAUGUUGAAAAAUUAGCGGAUGACUUGUGGCUGGGGGUGAAAGGCCAAUCAAACCGGGAGAUAGCUGGUUCUCCCCGAAAGCUAUUUAGGUAGCGCCUCGUG